CCUACGGGAGGCAGCAGUGAGGAAUAUUGGUCAAUGGACGAGAGUCUGAACCAGCCAAGUAGCGUGAAGGAUGACUGCCCUAUGGGCUGUAAACUUCUUUUAUAAAGGAAUAAAACGAGGCGCGUGUGCCUUUUUGCAUGUACUUUAUGAAUAAGGAUCGGCUAACUCCGUGCCAGCCGCCGCGGUAAUACGGAGGAUGGGAGGGUUAUCCGGUUUGAUUGGGGUGAAAGGAUGAGUAGGCGGGCUUUUCAGUCAGCGGUAAAAAUUCGGGGCUCAACCCCGUCCGGCAGUUGAAACUGGGAGACUUGAGUGGGCGAGAAGAAGGCGGAACGCGAGGUGUAGCGGUGAAAUGCAUAGAUAGCACGAAGAACCCCGAUUGCGAAGGCAGCCCUCCGGCGCCCUACUGACGCUGAGGCACGAAAGUGCGGGGAUCGAACAGGAUUAGAUACCCGGGUAGUC
rnacentral:rRNA from 1 species